rnacentral:tRNA from 1 species
AAACUUUAUAUUCAUAUUUUAUGAUAUUAGAUUGCAAUUCUAAAGGAGUAUAUUUAUACUAAGGUUUA